rnacentral:rRNA from 1 species
UACGUAGGGGGCUAGCGUUGUCCGGAUUUAUUGGGCGUAAAGAGCGUGUAGGCGGCCACGCAGGUCCGUUGUGAAAACUGGAGGCUCAACCUCCAGACGUCGACGGAAACCGUAUGGCUAGAGUCCGGAAGAGGAGAGUGGAAUUCCUGGUGUAGCGGUGAAAUGCGCAGGUAUCAGGAAGAACACCCGUGGCGAAGGCGGUUCUCUGGGACGGUACUGACGCUGAGACGCGAAAGCGUGGGGAGCGAACAGG